GCGCCUCCGCUGGCCCGCGUGAAACCCUCUCUGCUGCCUCGACUGACUGUCGUUUCCGUGUCUUGAUUGUGGCCUCUGCCUCUCCCCCUUCCGAUUUCGUUCGACUUCUUUCUACAGUUACUAAGCGCCCACUGUGUGCCCUGGAAGGGACUAGACUCAGCAGGAAAAACAUCCAGGCAAGUGGACAGCAUUUGCAACAGCCCAGCAAUAAGAAGGACCAUAUUCUACUUGGGAAAAGGUAAAGUCGUUUCAUAUGGACGGAGAUGUUGUCGCUUGAAAUGUCAGGAAGUUUCCAUUCAUCACCCGCCCUUGAAAAUGCCACCAUCACCAUACUUCAUGUUUCCUUGCUUUCUUUCUUCAGAGGAAUCCAAGCACCUUGCAGAGGGAGCCCACUCCUUGUCACAGACUCUCCUGGAGGCUGAAACAGGGGCAGUCUGCACAGAGGAGAGGUGUAGAGAGGCGCGAUUUAGAAAUAAGAAAACCAAAUCGUAAAGAAGCCUAAUGUCUUGUUGCAACAUCUGAAAGAAACAAGAUGAAUAUAUUCCACUAGGUGGGAAGCUUAGGGUAGUGGGAAGAACAUGGAUUCAGGACUUUGAGAAACAUGGAUUUAAAUUUUGAUCCCCAAUGCCUCUCUGCACUUCACUGUUAUCUAUAAAAUAGAGGAAAUAAAAAUACUAUACAUUCAAGUCUUAACACCAACAGUUAACUAGUUGUGUAACCUUGGACAAGUUAUGUGACCUCUCUGUCUGAGCAUUGUCAUUUGUAUAUGAGAUCAUGGAGGUUAAAUGUCCAACCUGUUGUCACUGUGCACCUCAAAAUAAUAAAUAAAACAUUUCAUCUCUCAA
ensembl:lncRNA FGGY-DT FGGY divergent transcript